ensembl:misc_RNA Metazoa_SRP Metazoan signal recognition particle RNA
GCCAGGCAUGGUGGCGCACACCUGUAAUCCCAGCUACUCGGAGGCUGAGGCAGGAGAAUCGCUUGAGCCCAGGAGGCAGAGCUUGCAGUGAGCCAAGAUGGCGCCACUGCACUCCAGCCUGGGCAACAGAGUCAGACUCCGCCUCAA